AUUGAACGCUGGCGGCAGGCCUAACACAUGCAAGUCGAGCGGUAGAGAGGUGCUUGCAUCUCUUGAGAGCGGCGGACGGGUGAGUAAUGCCUAGGAAUCUGCCUAGUGGUGGGGGAUAACGUUCGGAAACGGACGCUAAUACCGCAUACGUCCUACGGGAGAAAGCGGGGGGAUCUUCGGACCUCGCGCCAUUAGAUGAGCCUAGGUCGGAUUAGCUAGUUGGUGAGGUAAUGGCUCACCAAGGCGACGAUCCGUAACUGGUCUGAGAGGAUGAUCAGUCACACUGGAACUGAGACACGGUCCAGACUCCUACGGGAGGCAGCAGUGGGGAAUAUUGGACAAUGGGCGAAAGCCUGAUCCAGCCAUGCCGCGUGUGUGAAGAAGGUCUUCGGAUUGUAAAGCACUUUAAGUUGGAGGAAGGUAGGUAACCUAAUACGUUGCUACUUU
rnacentral:rRNA from 1 species